GGGGAAUCUUGCGCAAUGGGCGAAAGCCUGACGCAGCAACGCCGCGUGCGGGAUGAAGGCCCUCGGGUUGUAAACCGCUUUCAGCAGGGACGAAAAUGACGGUACCUGCAGAAGAAGCCCCGGCUAACUACGUGCCAGCAGCCGCGGUAAUACGUAGGGGGCAAGCGUUGUCCGGAUUUAUUGGGCGUAAAGAGCUCGUAGGCGGUUUCGUAAGUCGAGUGUGAAAAAUCUGGGCUCAACCCAGUGGAGCACUCGAUACUGCGAUGACUGGAGUACGGUAGAGGAGUGUGGAAUUCCUGGUGUAGCGGUGAAAUGCGCAGAUAUCAGGAGGAACACCAACGGCGAAGGCAGCACUCUGGGCCGGUACUGACGCUGAGGAGCGAAAGCGUGGGGAGCAAAC
rnacentral:rRNA from 1 species